ACUCCUACGGGAGGCAGCAGUGAGGAAUAUUGGACAAUGGAGGCAACUCUGAUCCAGCCAUGCCGCGUGUAGGAAGACUGCCCUAUGGGUUGUAAACUACUUUUAUAGAGGAAGAAAUCGCAAUACGUGUAUUGCUCUGACGGUACUCUACGAAUAAGGAUCGGCUAACUCCGUGCCAGCAGCCGCGGUAAUACGGAGGAUCCAAGCGUUAUCCGGAAUCAUUGGGUUUAAAGGGUCCGUAGGCGGGCGUAUAAGUCAGUGGUGAAAGUUUGCGGCUCAACCGUAAAAUUGCCAUUGAUACUGUAUGUCUUGAAUAAUUGUGAAGUGGUUAGAAUAUGUAGUGUAGCGGUGAAAUGCAUAGAUAUUACAUAGAAUACCGAUUGCGAAGGCAGAUCACUAACAAUUUAUUGACGCUAAGGGACGAAAGCGUGGGUAGCGAACAGGAUUAGAUACCCCUGGUAGCGACUGA
rnacentral:rRNA from 1 species